CGGAGGCGCGCUCAGUGGGCAGAGGUCCAAGGCAAAGCCUUGGGCAGCCGGCUGAGGAGUCAGAUCUGUUCGCGGUAGGCAUCCAGCAGGCGGAGGCUUGCGUGUCGAGACCCCACCAGGUGAGGCUGGUGGCCUAGAGGGUGAACUUUCUCAUCUUGGUCUUCACACUCUCCAUGGUCCCAUCCAGCUUCUAAGGGUGAAGCCUCCUUUAUGUAUCCCUCCCUCCGCUCUCCUCAGAAAGAAGAAGCAACCCAGGUUUCCUGGCUCAGGAGAGUGCCUUUGCGAAAAAACCCUGGGUCUCUUGUUUCAGCUCAGUGUUUUAACAGAGCCAAAGAGUCAGUUUGUCAUGAAAAAGCAUUGGACUAGGAGUCAAGAGUAACUCUUCACUAGCUUGGUAUUGUGCAAGUCAUCCUACCUCUCUGGAUCUUAGUUGCUUCAUCUGUAAAAAAGAAGAUAAAAAUUCUUUACCUGCCUGAAGACUUGGCACAAGAGUGUGAGCCAGCAAAAAGGACAGUAACACAUGGAAGGACCUGGAGAAAUUAGAGAC
rnacentral:lncRNA from 1 species